rnacentral:tRNA from 1 species
UUUUAUAUUGUUAAGUAGUAAAAUAAUGUCUCAAACACAGAUACUUAAAUUUUAAUUUAAUAGAAAAU